rnacentral:rRNA from 1 species
CACAGCGAUGUGAUGCCAAUCCCUAAAGCCCCUCUCAGUUCGGAUCGAAGUCUGNAACCCGACUUCGUGAAGCUGGAUUCGCUAGUAAUCGCGCAUCAGCCACGGCGCGGUGAAUACGUUCCCGGGCCUUGUACACACCGCCCGUCAAGCCAUGGGAGCCGGGGGUACCUGAAGUACGUAACCGCAAGGAGCGUCCUAGGGUAAAACUGGUGACUGGGGCUAAGUCGUAACAAGGUAAC